UGCCUAUUAAAAUUGGGUGAGGGAGUGGCCAAGCAGGAAACAUAGUACAUAUUGGAGAGGAAAGAAAAAAGAAAGGAAUUGAUAUUGCAAGCAGGUUUAUCAUAGAAGCUAGGUCUGAAGUAGACCUAAAGCUGAUGAAGCUCUGAAGGGUUGCCCAGCCCCUGCCUGUGCCGCUAAUACAUAACACACUGGGGUUAGCAGGGGCAUCCCAGCCCUCCUGGAGGCUGCAAAUAAAGCUGGUAAAGAGGCCAGGCAUUGUUUUUGAAGUAAUUUGUAGUUGGAUAGACUGCAAGUCACCUGUGAUCCCUCCUAAUAGCAGAGGGAGAGAAAAUCUUUGUGUUGUCUGUGAAGAAGGUGUGAACAGGAACAGAGGGGAUGGCAGAUCUGCUGGAAUAAUGAAUGUUUCAGAUCUCUCUGCUGUGCUCCAGUCUGAUGCAAUGGGCUCCAAAUCUGCACACAUCCUCACUGAGGAAGGCUGGUCUGCCUGGAUUAUUUCUAAGGAUAAUUUUUCAAGCCACAACCAGUGAACCAGGAGAGCCGCCUGCCUCCAUGCCAAAGGUCAGAAAAUGGAAAUGUAAUCUGAUAAAUGCACACAGACAAAGGCAUGUACAAUGUGGAACAGUACUUUCGGAGGAGCAGAGAGCUGAUAAUGUUGUGCUUCAUGGCAUCAGGAAUAAGAGGCCUUCAAGAGAAGGAGAGACUCUCCAAAAUGCCAAGGCAGCAAUGUAGUCUUCAGCAGCAUAAAAAACUUCACAGCAAAGCUAAAGGAUUUAUUAAUAUCAGCCUCCAUUACAGAGGAUGCUGGGAAAUACUGGCCCAAGACAUAUUUUUUCAGGAUAAAAUUUUAGACAGUGAGAUGUUAAAACAUGAGGUGUUGAACAAGCUAAAGAGCUACAAGCUGCUGGGAAUGAAAGAAAGAGCUGAUGCUAGGACCAGGGGACCAGCAAACCCUUCUCUAACGCCAGCUGCAAUGGUUGAAACUAAUCAAAACCAGAACUUUAGCUGGAUGAACAUGACAGAAUGGGGACGACUUGGUCUGGAUUCACUGAAGGAAAAUUGCGUCUGUAAUCUACUCAAAUUUUUAGUACAUUGCUUGAAGAGUGGAUGUGACUUUCGUGGACUUUCAAGAGGCAUAGGACAAAGUCCUUCAUGGGAGGCAAUAUGAGAAACAGAAUAGCCCUAAUAUAUGAAACUGAAUAUUGUCAUGGACUAGAAGUUGGCCAAGAGAAAGCAAAAUAAAGGAUCAGUUGCAACAGGACAAAGAAUGAAUAUGAACCUUCCCCUACCAUAUCAUGCAGAAUAAAACUUAUUUUAUUUUUAAAAUGCUUAAUAUUUUUUAAAAGGACUUAAAGAAUCAACAAAACCAUGAGAUGAACUGUAGGAGCUGAAGGCUGUGAUGAAGCUCAGACAGCUGGGAUGUGCUCUGCUUGCUACUUGGUGGAGUCUUUAAAUACCCUAUGCAAAACAGUGCAGCUAAGCUGUUACUUGCAGGUUUAUAUGACCCAUAUGUUGCAGAGGCAAAAUACCAGCACAGCAGUUUUUGAAUCCUUCUAUUUACUUGCUUUGUAUCUGAAGCUGAUUUAAAUUAAUUUCAUCACUUUUCUGUGAAUAAAUACGUCUCACAGCCCUUUCUCAGAACUGCUGCUCUGUUAAAAACUUCACUUUUCUUGCAGUCCUGUAGGCACAUGUGCAAUUCAUAUGCAAAGGAGCGUAGCCCUCUAAGAUGGCAGGAUCAAACUUCAUAGAAUCGUAGAAUUGCUCAGGUUGGAAAAGACCUUAAAGAUCAUCAAGUCCAACCACAACCUAACCAUACUACCCUAACAACCUGCCCUCUCACCUCUCCUGAGCUAGUUUGCAGUAUAGCUACUAUUGCCUAGGGAGGUGGUAGAGUCAGCAUCCCUGGAGGUGUUUGAGAAUCAUGAAGAUGUGGCACUGAGGGACACAGUCAGCGGGCAUGAGGGGGAUGGGUUGGAGUUGGGCUAGAUGAUCUUAGAGGUCUUCUUCAACCUUAAUGAUUCUACGAUUCACAAGUUGGAAGGACUAGAAAAUCUCAUAAAUGCAUGUCUUCUUAUUCAACUUUUAUUAUCAAAUCAAGUCAUCUGGAGACAUUUAAAGACCUAUUUCCAGAAAGUAUCUUGGAUAAAGUGCAGACGCUGCCACACUACCUGCUUUCCAGGUAUUGCUUCUGAUAUAUAAACUGCUUAUGGUUUCCUAGAAUUCAAACAGACCGCAUUAUUCCCUCUGUGUCAUUUGUUCCUCAUUCUUAGAUAGCAGCAAAUUAAAAAAUGAUGGAGAAGAGUCGGGAGUGAAACUGAUGACUACUUCUACCAUGAUUAUAAAUGCAUUAUUUUGGCAGCUAAAUUUCUUUCAAAAUUUCUCCCGAGAAGGCCAGCUCAGCUUCCUGCCCCAUUAAACAACCAGAAGAGGCAGUUGCAUCUUUGUGGAAAAACUAGCCAGUUUCCAAGAAGUUCUUUGUUUGUGGGCUUUGACAGAUCAAUUUGUAUUCUCACUGAAAAAAAAAUAAAUAAGAAAGCUGGAACAACCAAGUUCUUCAGGGUAAAAGAUCAAUUUCACAUCUAAAAUUCAAAGUUAAAGAAGAGCAAUAUACUUGGAGAGAUGCUGCUUGUUUAAUGAGUUUGCCAUAGCAGUAGCACUGGAAAUUAAAUAACCAUUGGUAAAGAUGUAACAGUAAUGGAUAAAAUUAGGAAAUUCCUUGUAGAGCAUUAACAAUGCUGAAAACGUUCAAACAGUUUUUCAAUCAGUGGCAGGCCCUGUACUGGGAAGCUCAUAUUAGCUUGGUAGGUGGAACUGACACCAGGAGUGGAGGAACGAAGAUGAGGCAAAGAGGGGAUGGUUUGCUAUGUAUGAAAUCAUUCUGAUAAGUAUUUUGAAGUGGACCCAUGAGGAGCAUUCUUAGCAGCACCAGCACUGAGAUUGGACAGAAAAGCAGCUUAAUAUUUGUAGUUGGUGUUUUUUCUUUGCCUGAAAAUCUUUGGUGAGCUCUGCUAACCACUACUUGCCAGCUGACUUCUCACAAAACUCAUAAACAACAAAAGUUCAAGGUAUUUGAGCGUGCUUUGCCUAACACAAACACACGCACUGGUACAUCUGCAAGCGUUAGGCAUGUGCAUAUGUCCGAACUGACUAAAGCCAGGCCAAUUCCUGUCACUGGCCUUCCCCUUCAUUCCCCACUCUUUGUCUGCAAUUAAGAUACCUUUCUUCUUCUUUUCAAAGCUACUUACAGUUACUGAAGUCAAGAGAAGUAUUGUUACCAGUGUGCAUAGGCUUAGGUUGUCACUCCUAUUUUUCUAAGCCUCUUGCAGGAAACUAGACAACUUGAGGCAAUGGAAAUAAUACUAAGAACAGACAAUAAUAGGAGAGUGUCUCCUUUUAUCUGGAUUUGAUAAAUUUAACAUGAUAGAACCCUACAUGCCUUGCUGUUAGGCCCCCUUUUGCAACAGCAGUAUUGUGCAUCAGGAUUGCGCUAGUCCCACAACAAGGGUGAAGGCGAUUUGUAAGGUUGUAAUUUUAAAAUGUGUUUAUCUAUUUCAAAAGAGUCACCUACAGUGCAGAAGUGCAAAAGUUUGCACAUGAGCUUUCGGUUCCCUGAGGAGUGAUGUUUCAUGUUCUUGCUGUCAAACACAAAUCAGCAUGAGGGGGCACUAAAGAGCUGUCAAUAAAAAAGUUAUUUUGAGGCAAGGUUUGUAGGGAGAGGUAAUUAUCUUUUUUUAGAUCACCAAAUAUUUUGACUGCGAUCUGAAAUAGGCUGAUUUCAGAAUGUCUUCAAAUCAUGAGGGAGAUAAAGCUUUUCAUGUGCAUUUCAAGACCUCUUUCCAGAAACUGGGCCUAUCGUGCUUUUGCUUGGUAAAACUGAGGAGGAGUCUGUGAAAGGUGAACAAACCCUUUUAAUGGUGAAUUUUGAAUACUUAAAUAUUCUAUGCAGGAGAUCAGAGAUAGCACAAGGCCUCACAACACCUGGCAGCACAAGCAGGAAAUGAAUGAAUGAGAUGCAAAUUGGACAUCUUGACUAGAAAAGAUGGACUAUUUCCUUCUGCAGAUUGCGUUAUGGACGGCAUGCCAAAGCUGAUGUAGAUGGACUCAGUGGAGUGAACCCUGAUGAAAUGCAAAGAAAAUACCCUAUCUCACAGACAAAGCAGAAGAUUUUCAAAAUUAAAAUGGCCAUUUUACAAGCAACUUGUGAGCAUUCCUGUGAGACUGUGCUGCUAACAGAUGUCCUCAGAAUUGUUCUCGCAGGCCCUUGUAAUGGAAUGCACACAUGGCACAAAGUGCAACCAGACACUCUCGGUGCAGUGCAGGCUGAUCACUUGCCCGGCUUAAACCUGGGCAAGUGACUUGAUGGAGCAAGGUCACGUUGUGUCUCAAACCCCAGUGAAGCCAGUGAGAAUAGAACUGAUAUUCAGACCAAUCACAACAAAAAUAAUUAGUAACUUCUUACAAUUAACUUGCCCUUUUGGACAUUUCCUUACAUAAAACAUUUGAGUGAAUUAUUAAAACUGUUUCCAAUCCAAAGGCAUAAAAAAUGUAUUAGAUUGUAAUCCAGACUCCACAUUUGUGGUAGAUAUACCUACAACGUUGUGAUUGUUGUCUUUUAAUUCAGCAGCUUCUGAAGGACAGAAUGUGAGCCUUCCCAUAGUCCUGUUCCAACCAGACUGCCGCCUUAAAAAUAUCUUAAUUGUGAUUUAAAGUCUUUAAAGAGAAGAAGGAAUGAAAAAUCCCAGUGGUUGAACUCCAAUGCCUUUGUCAACCACACUGAGUUCCUCUGGUGUCAGACUUCAGCUAGAAAAUGAUAGAACUAUUCUAUCACCUUCAGUUUUUUUAAUAUACUACAUUAAUGUUUUCUUCGGUGGAUAUUUUCCAAGACAUCAUUAUCUUCAGCCACACGUUAGAGUCAGCUCCUCCUGCCAAAAUUCCUUGACACUUGAUUUCUCAAUUUCUGGACCCCGAACAUGAAGACCCUAGGGCAACCAACAUCCAGCAUGUCCCAUUUAACUUUUCCAUGAUCUUGGUAGGCCACGGCCAGUGAAAUACCAACCACUGCUUGCUAGUGCUUUUCUAAGUCAGUUUUCUAGGGAAUUGUACCCUGGCCUGUGAGAACAUGCUCACAGACUUUGACUCUAAGCAUGGUAUUCAUAUCUGGUAUUUUCUCCAUCUACGUUCAUCUAUUGAUACAGUCAUGUCUACUAAACAUCACUGUUCUGUCUUACUUCUGUGUACCUGCCCUUCACUCUAUGUGUUGCAUAAUAACUUCAUGAAGAGUGGUUUUUUAUCUCUUUAACCAUUGAUAGAAAUGCAUGAUAGUAUGGGGAGAAUCUCUGUGGAGUCUUGCUGGAAUUUUACUUAGUUAAUUAUGAUUCUUAAUUCAGAGAUUUUCUAUGAUUGCCAGUUUAAACAGUUUUCCUCCCUUUUACUGUAUGCUGUGUAUGCUGUGCUGAUUUUUUUUUUCAUUUGUUGUCAUUUCUAAUGGAUAUUUUUGUUUCUGUUGUCAGUAUUCUAAGUGCAUAUUCAAACACAGAUGGACUGAUUUUAUCAGACAAAUAGUCUGAUUUUACUUCUAAGCAAGACUCUCAGGGGUUUUGAGCCUUCCUUGACUGAUAAUGGGUUUUUGGCUAUUUUAAGGAAAAACUUAAAUCUGAUCCAACAAUUAUAUUUUCACAUUCCUUUCCAAGUAAUUUUGAUUGUGGCUCCUUCAGUUUGUAAAACAUCCUUCUAAGAAACUGUAUAUAUAAUAACAAUGUGAACUUCACAUUGCCUGUACACAAGAAAUCCAGUUAAGUAAGACGAUUUGUAUCUAAGCCAUUACUAAGAUUAAUUCUGUGGUCAGUUCUUCUUUGACUGUCAAGAUGAGGUCUAAUAGUAAAUUUCCUGGAUUAGAUUUUUGAGUAGAUUUUGAUUAGAUUUUUGAGUAGAUUUUUGAUUCCUGGAUUAGAAUUUUCAGUAAGGAAACUCAAAUGGGGUUAUCCAGGAGUUCCAACUUGUGAUGUUCCCAGCCUUGUCCCUCCUGCCCCUGAGCUACUGCUUCUGUGUGCACCAUAUGUACUAGAUGGCCUUUGCUUGGAGGCUGUCAGAGCAGAAGCCACAAUCUGUUCCUUGCACAUCACAGUGCUUAUCAGUUGUGGUGCUGAGACUAAAGCUAUACAUACAAAUCAUAUACUUAAAUUCUCCAACCAGCCAAGUAACUAUCAUGACCUUGCUUCUUUUUCAGUCUUCCUCUUAUAUCACAAGCAUAUAACUUACAGCAGAUGCUCCCAAGGACAUUCUGUUUUUGUGUGUGUGUUUUUUUUUCCUAACUUCCUUGAGCAUUUCAUUUGUCUUAUUUAUACUUCUUCACCAUACCUAAUUUAGAAACUAGUAGAAGAAACUUACCACUAGCAAGGUGAGAAGAGUUGGGUAGUUAAGUCUACAAUAACCUAUUAUUUUACUGAUGGUUGGAUGAAGUAUUGUUGUAGGUGAUGAAUAUGUUAUUCAGUGAAGACAGGUGGUACACAUAUUUAAGCUCUUCUUGAAGUGAGAGAAGAAAUAGAGCCUUUGAGCAGUCCCUCCUUAAAACCAAAGACACUGAUCAUUAAUUACAUUAAAUUUUAGAGUCAUGGAAAUUUGAUUCCAGACUGAAGAUGAAUGCAGAGAGUUUGGCAUCAUUUUGAUAUGUGGGUGAAUGAGGAAGAGAACUAGAUAUCUAAGCCACAAAAACAGGUAGAAGAGAUGGCAAAAAGAAAAAUAAAACCAAAACAGUAAAACCAAACAAACAAAAAAAAAACCCACAACAGACAGACAGGCUUUAGGAGGAAAGCUGAGA